GAUGAAGAACGCAGCGAAAUGCGAUAAGUAGUGUGAAUUGCAGAAUUCAGUGAAUCAUCGAAUCUUUGAACGCACAUUGCGCCCCUUGGUAUUCCAUGGGGCAUGCCUGUUCGAGCGUCAUUUGUACCUUCAAGCUUUGCUUGGUGUUGGGUGUUUGUCUCGCCUUUGCGUGUAGACUCGCCUUAAAAUAAUUGGCAGCCGGCGUAUUGAUUUCGGAGCGCAGUACAUCUCGCGCUUUGCACUCAAACGACAGCGUCCAAAAGUACAUUUUACACUCUUGACCUCGGAUCAGGUAGGGAUACCCGCUGAACUUAAGCAUAUCAAUAAGCGGAGGA
rnacentral:misc_RNA from 1 species